CCUACGGGUGGCAGCAGUGAGGAAUAUUGGUCAAUGGGCGCAAGCCUGAACCAGCCAAGUCGCGUGAUGGAUGACAGCCCUACGGGUUGUAAACCUCUUUUGCCGGGGAGCAACGUGCGCCACGUGUAGCCCCACUGAGAGUACCCGCAGACAAAGCAUCGGCUAACUCCGUGCCAGCAGCCGCGGUAAUACGGAGGAUGCGAGCGUUAUCCGGAUGUAUUGGGUUUAAAGGGUGCGUAGGCGGAUUGUGAAGUCAGUGGUAAAAUUGAGGGGCCAAACCACGGCCCGCCAUUGAAACUGGCGCUCUUGAGUGGAAGAGAAGUAUGCGGAAUGCGUGGUGUAGCGGGGAAAUGCAUAGAUAUCACGCAGAACACCGAUUGCGAAGGCAGCAUGCCGGAUCCCGACUGACGCUGAAGCACGAAAGCGUGGGGAUCGAACAGGAUUAGAUACCCGAGUAGUC
rnacentral:rRNA from 1 species